CCCGCCCCGUCCGCGCAGCUCGUCCGGCCCGCCCGCAGGCCAGCUUCUCUCGGGAGCCUCCACCCAGGCGCAUGGCUCCAUGAAGCAAGAGGAGGAGGCAGAGCGCGAGAGAUCCCGUCCGCCCCAGCCGCGUCUGGGCCAGGAGAAAAGCAAAACCAUAUUCCUGCUGCUGUCAGUUUUGAUGCACUGAGAAAACUUCAGAGACCUAAGCUUUUUCCAGAGAAGAGAAGCUUUACUGGUGUUCCAGCCCUAAGAAACUUAAAUCCUCAGUGUGACACAACUCAGUCCUUCUACUGCAGCAGCUCUUUUAUAAAAGCCUCCCAAAGCUCCAAGAAGGAACAAAGAAUGUGACCCAGUAAGCUCACACCAUAAGUCUAUAUUGCAGAAACCUUUGUUCAACAAAACUGCAGAUGCUCUGUUGAAUCCACUGGAGAUUGUCCUGAUACUAAGGACAAGUAUGCUCAUAUGACAUUAACAGACAAGACACUUUUCAGAAAGACAGGUUGUUCUUUUGGGCCACAUCUAAGAAAUCUUUGUCUAGCCAAAAGCCACAAAUAAUUUCUCAUUUUUUGGCUUCUGGAAGAUGUACAGUUAAAUGUUAUAUUUGGGACUGUUAUCUAAUUUGAUUAAAUUGCACUCUACAAUAUGAUAUUUGAAUUGAUGAAAAAUUAGUAAAUGUUAAUAUUUUUUAAAGUAGCCAAAUCUUGCAAUUUAUAUAUAAUAGAGAAGACUAGAAAAUCCCCCAUAUUUAUUUCCUCUUACUUCGUACUACUAAAAUUUGUAUUUAGGCAUUUGGUUUCUCAGAUAAACAUUACAUUCCCCAGUAUAUGGUUCUAUCUGGCUUGGUGACGACAUGUUGAACAUUAAGAUGUGAGCAGAAGUAAUACAUACACACUCUUUUUAAUGUCUUUAAUUGAAUGGGAUAUUGGCCCAUUUUUUCUUCCAGUUUAUUACACUGAAUAUUGACAUGUUAUUUUCCAAUAUUGAGACAAUCAAUGACAAGACUUUAAGAGUAACAAUGUAAAAAUUAUAGAAGUUGUCUGAGUUUAUCAACAAUCCCCUGGAUUAGAACCCCCUACCAGUUCUAGGUCAUCUAAUAUAUAGACAUUGUGUUCAGUAGAAAUAAAUAUAUAUAUUUUUUAAUAUACUUUAAGUUCUAGGAUACAUGUGCACAACAUGCAGGUUUGUUACAUUGGUAUACACAUGCCAUGUUGGUUUGCUGCACCCAUUAACUCAUCAUUUACAUUAGUUAUUUCUCCUAAUGCUAUCCCUCCCCCUGCCCCCCACCCCCCGACAGGCCCUGGGGUGUGAUGUUCCCCACCCUGUGUCCAAGUGUUCUCAUUGCUCAAUUCCCACCUAUGGGAAUACAUUUUUAAAUCAUUUUUAAAGGUGUUAUUACAUUCUGAUUGAACAUUUUCAGAAAGAAUAAAUAAUUUAAUACAAGAAGUGGGCCACUUCAUGUAACAAAACAAACCACCACUACAGCAACAACAACAAAAAACACUAAUGAAUGUGACUUUAGCUUUGCAACAUCAUGACAGACUAGCAAGUUAAUGACAUUUGUUAUGCCAUAGAAAAUAUUUGUUGAAUUGCCACUCUAAUGACUUUAUAUCAGCCAACUCAUUAUCAACACUAGAAAAGAUGAUUAAAAAAUACUUCAGUACGUUCAUGUGUUGGCUUGUUAACAUUUUUAAGAGUCUAUAAGAGAAAAAUGCAUCCAAUCUCGGCAAAAAUAUUUUUCAAGUAUCUUGUAGGUACGUACAACUAACUACCUUGUGAACAAAAGUCACUAUAUAAUUAUAUAAUUUCUGACACUUAAAAAAGUUUAUUGUGCAAAAGAAGAUAUAUGUUCUAAUACCAAAUCCACAUAUAAAAUAAUUGACUUAUUUAAAUAAUUUAAGAUGCUCUUUUAUAUAUUUAUAUUAAAAACUUUACAGAGAAUAAAAAAGGCAUUAUACAGGCUGCUUAUGGUUUUUGAUGUUUGGAUAUACAAUACAUGUAUCAAAGAUUGUGGAAAUAAAUCAAGCAAUAUAUUC
rnacentral:lncRNA from 10 species